AAACCAUGUCCCGGCAGCGCCGGGGGCUGCCGCCGCCGCUGCCUCAGCAAGCCCGGAGCCGCGCUGACCCCGUGGCCCCCACCUCCUCAGCCUCCGCCUCCACCUCUCGCCGCGCCGCCGCCGCCUGGCGCGCGAGCUGCUUUCUCUGCACCUUGUCCCUGUCUGUCACCUACCUGUGCUACAGCCUCCUGGGCGGCUCGGGCACCCUGCAGUUCCCCGUGGUGCUACAGGAGCCGCCCGCACUGCCGCCGAGCCCGCCCCCACCCUCUCUACUGCUGCCCCCCAUGCGCCUCGGCACCCCCUCGCAGCCGUCCGCGCUGCCGCCGGACAACGCGAGCCGCGGGGAGCCCCCGGAGCCCUCCAAGCAGCCCCCUGCCCCCGGGCCGACGGCUGGGGUCUGGCGAGCGGCAGCGGGGGUGCUUGGGACACCUGGCUCCGACCCCUGUGGCCCCUGGCAAGAUGAUCAUGGCACAGAGCGCGCUGCUGGAGAGGGAAGCGCAGGAGUCCAGCACCACCCACAAGGAGCUCGCAGGCCGGAGAGCGGUCAAUGGGAGCAGCGAGAGGGGCGGCGCCCUCAGCACCCCCAACUAUGGGGAGAAGAAGCUGCCACAGGCGGUCAUCAUCGGGGUCAAGAAAGGAGGCACCCGCGAGCUGCUGGAGGCGAUCGGAGUCCACCCGGGCAUGCGGGCCGUGGGCGUAGAGCCACGCUUCUUCGACAGGAACUACGAAAAGGGGCUGGAGUGGUACAGGGCCCAUUCGCCCACUAGAAUGCUUUGGUUCUGGAGCAGACAUCUGCGUUAGACCCUUCAGAGGAAGCACGAGAGCACUGUAGGAGCAACAUUAUUUGGAGCCUGUUUUUGUAUCUCUGAGUCAGAAUCCACUGCAUCCUCCUUGUGUGACCUUAGACCAGUUACUUAAUAUCACCAAGCCUCCAGUUUUUUGUCUGCAGAAUGGGCUCAAUGUUACUUACUUGCAAGUGAUUAUGUGAGGGUGAAAUGAAGCGGCCCUUAAAAAGUGCCCCCACGCAGAGUGUGUGACAUGAUGAAUUUCUUCUUCUCCUUCUCUCCUCUCUCUCCUAAUUUUCCUUUUCCUUUGCUUUUCUCCUUCAUUUUCCUUCAAUUCCUUCCUUUUAUCCUGCCUAUCAGUAUGGAGGGCCCUACAGAGAAAGCUGUAAUGCAUUUUUCAUUAACAAAUCGUCUUUCAUUUCAAGAUUAUGUCUGAAUGAGGGAUUUCAAACCUG
rnacentral:lncRNA from 1 species